CCCUUAGAUGUCCUGGGCCGCACGCGCGUUACACUGAUGCAUUCAACGAGCAUAUAACCUUGGCCGAGAGGCCUGGGUAAUCUUGUUAACAUGCAUCGUGAUAGGGAUAGAUUAUUGCAAUUAUAGAUCCUGAACGAGGAAUGCCUAGUAAGCGCAGUUCAUCAGGCUGUGCUGAUUACGUCCCUGCCCUUUGUACACACCGCCCGUCGCUCCUACCGAUUUCGAGUGGUCCGGUGAACCAUCUGGAUUGGAUCGCAAGAUUCGAGAAGUUUAGUAAACCUUAUCACUUAGAGGAAGGAGAAGUCGUAACA
rnacentral:rRNA from 1 species